rnacentral:lncRNA from 12 species
CUCCUCCUCAAAAAUAGAAAUGAAUGCCCUGCUCCUAUACGGUCCUCAAAUGGCAGGAUUUUGAAACAUGAAUUAGACCUCGAAUGCAAAUUAACUUCGGAAGGCAGGGAGAGGGGGGGGGGGGGAAAUCAGAGAGACAUACCAAGUCAAACGCUCCUUUUCCUGCCUAUCUCGUCCGCAAUGGUAAAAUAGGCUAAACAAAACAAGUGCACAUCAAGAUAGAGCCAAUUAAGGAAUAGAGAGCGGGGGGAGAGGGUGGAGAGGAAGGCACCUCACUGAGCACAUGGGGAGUGGGAGCGCAGCAUCCCACCAUACCUACCUUAUGAGUGUUCAAAGGAAGACAACUGGGGGCUUGCCACAAAUCGAUUUCAAGUCUUCUUCAGACCAAGGGGCUGGAGAAGCUGUCCCUCCAAGGUUCCCUGGCACCUACCUGGGGGAACAUGUACCUCUCUAAAUGGGCCCUGGUAAGUGAAUCACAGCCAGGCACUCUGCUCAGCUCACAGGGAGAGUGGGGGGGGUCCAGCAAAGAACGUCAGACAGAAUGACUUGUCACAUAUAUUUUUAAAGGGAAAAAAAGAAGUAGUAUUCCUCCGCCUUAGGGGGUUGCUGGGUUUGAGCAGCUUUGUUCCAGCCACCACCACCCCCCCGGGGGGGGGGGGGGGGGGGGGG